CGACCUACAGGGGGCAGCAGUGAGGAAUAUUGGUCAAUGGGCGGGAGCCUGAACAAGCCAAGUCGCGUGAGGGAAGACGGUCCUAUGGAUUGUAAACCUCUUUAGGCGGGGAGCAAUGCCGGGCACGCGUGCCCGGAGGGAGAGUACCCGCAGAAUAAGCAUCGGCUAACUCCGUGCCAGCAGCCGCGGUGAUACGGAGGAGGGGCGCGUUAUCCGGAUUUAUUGGGUUUAAAGGGGGCGGAGGCG
rnacentral:rRNA from 1 species